UGGCGGGCGGGUGAGUAAUGUCUGGGAAACUGCCCGAUGGAGGGGGAUAACUACUGGAAACGGUAGCUAAUACCGCAUAACGUCGCAAGACCAAAGAGGGGGACCUUAGGGCCUCUUGCCAUCGGAUGUGCCCAGAUGGGAUUAGCUAGUAGGUGGGGUAACGGCUCACCUAGGCGACGAUCCCUAGCUGGUCUGAGAGGAUGACCAGCCACACUGGAACUGAGACACGGUCCAG
rnacentral:rRNA from 1 species